rnacentral:rRNA from 1 species
UACGUAGGGAGCAAGCGUUGUCCGGAAUUACUGGGCGUAAAGGGUGCGUAGGCGGCUAGGCAAGUCAGAUGUGAAAUCCCCGGGCUUAACUCGGGUGGUGCAUUUGAAACUGCUUAGCUUGAGUGCAGGAGAGGAAAGCGGAAUUCCUAGUGUAGCGGUGAAAUGCGUAGAUAUUAGGAGGAACACCAGUGGCGAAGGCGGCUUACUGGACUGUAACUGACACUGAGGCUCGAAAGCGUGGGGAGCAAACAGG